UAGUAUAGCAUAGCCUAGCUCCCACUACGCACGUAUGUCUGCGACGCGGCCUAAAUUUUUCGCGGGAAAAUUGAAGGCUCGAUUUACGCACCUGCCACUGCGCAACCAAAACAGGACAAAAUGGCGGCCUGGUGGAAUAGACAAUGCAGUUGUGGAAAACGCUACCGGGCAAACGAGUGACAGAAACUGAGAAUAGUAAAACAAGUGUAAACUUCAGUUGGGCAUUCACUCGAUGGAGAGAUCCAUGGUCUCACUGGGGCAGAAAUUCAGCUCUGGACUCUUCUGGGACUGACUAAACUGAUUUUUUAUGGUCCACUAGCCCACCGGGAUUUGUCCCGGUUGUUCGAUUAACUGAGUCAAAAUAUGGAGGAACCUUCGUAAGUAGAGAUGAUACAAAACCAACUGCUAGUUGUCAUUAUUUCUACUAUAUUAGUAAGUAAUAUAUGUUUUACCACGGCACUGUGAUCGGGGUUCCUCGGUUAAUUUGGGAUUUUAACAGUUGCUUCUUGCUUUGGGCAGGUAGCCAUGUUGCUAACGGCGGUAGCGUUGGCAACAGGUUAGCAACCGAUGGCAUGUUGCUAACGGCGGAACGUUAGCAACCGUUAACAACCUGGACGAUGAUUCAUUGUCCGUUUGAUAAUCUAAAGAAAUAACAUCUUUCUAUAAUCAGUAGUAGAAUGACCAUCUGUUGUCCGUUAAAAUAGAUUCCAGUUUUACUACUUUAUACUUUAUACCAUGGUACAUUUCAGAGGUAAAUGUUGCACAUUUUGCUCCACUACAUUUCCAAUCCAAAUAAUUAAAAAGAAAGGAGACCAUAGUGGCUACGAUCCUGUUUACAAGCGAUGAUAAUCUGGGAGAUCUGUGGUGUUUCAGAGCCUUGAAAUUAACCCGAUCACUCAACUCAGACCACAAACCCCACAAUCCCCGCCCCUCGCCGCGUCUGCGCACAGCAGCGCAGGGAGCUGUCCGUGUCAGUGGGUGCUGGAGUGUUUUCACUGAAGCAGCUUCUCCCUCAGGUCCACCGACACCGACGGGAGCGAUGGAGGAAGAGUUAAAAUGCCCCGUUUGUGGUUCUCUUUUCAAGGACCCCAUCCUGCUACCGUGCUCCCACAAUGUGUGCCUGGCCUGUGCUCGGAACAUCACCGUGCAGACCCCGGAGGGAGAGACCCCGGUGCAGAGCCGAGCCUCGGGCAGCUCUGACUACGACUACCUGGACAUGGACAAGAUGAGUCUGUACAGCGAGACGGACAGCGGAUACGGCUCCUACACGCCGUGCCAGCUCAAGUCUCCAAACGGGGUGCGGGUGUUUCCGCCAGCCAUCCACCACCGACACUGCUCCCUCACCUGCCCGCUGUGCCACCGGAGCGUCUCCCUGGAUGAGCGGGGGCUCCGGGGCUUCCCUCGGAACCGGCUGCUGGAGGCCAUCGUGGCGCGGUACCAGCAGAACCGCGCCGCCUCCGCUUCCUCCUCUUCCUCCUCCACGGCGGUGAAGUGUCAGCUGUGCGACCGCAACCCGGUGGACGCGGCGGUGAUGUGCGAGCAGUGCGACGUCUUCUACUGUAACGCCUGCCAGCAGCGGUGCCACCCGUCCCGCGGUCCGCUCGCCAAACACCGCCUGGUGCCGCCGCCGAACCAAGCGGCAGGAGGAGGUGCAGCAAGCGUAGGAGGGAGCGGCGGCGCCGGAGCUGGAGCUGGCGGAGGCAGCGGCGGUCAGCAGCCGCCCGCUACUGCCCGGAAACCGGCGACCUGUGUGGAUCACGAAGCGGAAAACUUCAGCAUGUACUGCUGCAGCUGCAAGGCUCCGGUGUGUAUGAAGUGUCUGGAGGAGGGAAAACACGCCAAACACGACGUUAAACCGCUGGCUGUGAUGUGGAAACAACACAAGUGCCAGAUCUCCCAGGCCCUGAACGGUGUCUCUGACAAAGCUAAAGAUGCUAAGGAGUUCCUGGUUCAACUCAAGAACAUGCUUCAGCAGAUUCAGGAGAACGGUGUGGAGUUUGAAGCUUGCCUUGUGGCUCAGUGCGACUCCCUGAUCGAGGCGCUGACCAGACAGAAAGCCAAACUGCUCACCAAAGUCACCAAGGAGAAGGAGUACAAACUGAAGGUGGUGCGCGACCAGAUCACCCACUGCACCAUGAAGCUACGUCAGACCACAGGUAUGAUGGAGUACUGUCUGGAAGUCCUCAAGGAGAACGAUCCCAGUGGAUUCCUCCAGAUCUCAGACGCCCUGAUCAAGCGAGUGACAUCGUCUCAGGACCAGUGGGUAAAAGGCGCCCUGGAGCCAAAAGUCGGCCCCGAGUUUGACCUCACCCUCAACACCGACUCACUGCUCCAGACCAUCCUGCAGCUGGACUUCAUCCAAGGCAAAGUGGAGACCGGACCUUCGGUGCCGGCAGCUCCUCUCCUGCAGCUGGAGAAGUGCUGCACCAGGAACAACAGCGCCACCCUGGCCUGGAGAGUAACUGCGCCCCCCAGCAACCCCAUCGAGGGCUACAUCCUGGAGUUAGACGAUGGCAAUGGGGGACAGUACAGGGAGGUGUAUGUGGGGAAGGAGACUGUGUGCACGGUGGACGGCCUCCAUUUUAACAGCUCUUACAAUGCCAGGGUGAAAGCCUAUAAUGGCAUCGGUGUGGGGCCCUACAGUAAGACGGUUGUGCUCAAGACUUCUGAUGUGGCUUGGUUCACCUUUGACCCCACCUCGGCUCAUCGGGACAUCGUUCUGUCCAAUGAAAACCAGACAGUCAGCUGUAACAGCUACGAUGACCGCGUGGUGCUGGGAACUGCUGCUUUCUCUAAGGGCAUUCACUACUGGGAGGUCAGCAUCGAUCGCUACGACAACCACCCGGACCCUGCGUUUGGCGUGGCGAGGAUCAACACCAUGAAAGACAUGAUGUUAGGGAAGGACGAUAAGGCGUGGGCCAUGUAUGUGGACAACAACCGCUCCUGGUUCAUGCACAACAACUCCCACACCAACAGGGCGGAGGGAGGCAUCACUAAGGGCUCGACUGUGGGCAUCCUGCUGGAUCUGACCAAACACACUCUGACUUUCUACAUCAACAAGGAGCAGCAUGGGCCGACUGCCUUCGAGAACCUGGACGGGGUCUUUGUGCCUGCGGUCAGCCUCAACAGAAACGUACAGGUGACCUUACUGACUGGCCUGGAGGUGCCAAAGAAUAUCAAACAGUAGGAGCUCCUUCUUCCCUCAGAGCGUGCCCUGGAUACAAACAUACGAUGUCAUGUGCAGCCUCAGUUUGCUCCCAUCUGGACCUUUUCCAAUAAUGUCAGAUGGGAUUUACCCCUCUCCCAUCCUUCUCAAGGUGCCCUCUGUGUUGGAUACACUUCAGCGUGAAAGCCUGUCAGAUAAUUUGGGACAAAGGAAUAAAUCUGAGUUGAUAUUGGCUUAUAAAUACAAUGAUGGAGGCUUGUGGACGUCAGUGCAGAUGUGACUGGAGUUACUGUGGAUUGCCAUACUUUUUUCAUAUGCCAGAUUUUUGCCCUGUGACCUUCAGGAUAGUAACAACACUUAUGUUAUUAUUCCAGCUUUUUCCAUUCCAGGAAUUUCAACAAGAAGGAAAACGCAGCCUGAAAUUUAUCCUUGAGGCCUGAAACCAAACUCACUCCGACCGGUAAAAACUUCUACACUGUGUAGUAAAGUAAUUUUGUGCUCAAAAUCCUGAAAAGUGAUGAAAAUUACACCACCAUUUUAAAAAGUGUAACAACACGAUGCUUUCAGUGGGGUGAAAAACGAGGGAGAACUGAUCGAGCGGUGUUUAUUGCUCUGCUUCUCUCUCAGGUGUGUUUACAGCUCGCAGGCUAUAACAAGAUGAAGGUGGUCUUUUGUAGGAGUUGUAGUGGCACAGUGGGGUGUCUCGCUCAUGAAAUUUUUAAAAGCUAAACUUUUACUGCACACUUUUAUCCCGGUUGUGGCUCCAGCAGCACCGCCUUCUCUGUUUUUCUGUUUUUCCUCCUUGGUUUAAGUUUAAUAGAGAAAUGAUUUCUUAUCUGUGGGUAGGAGCCUGACAGACAUAAAAGCUCUCCCCAUGAUGAACUCUCUAUCUCACUUGGUGCUGUUUCCAAUAAGGUUUACUCACUGAGUUCAAGCAGGGAGAGAUUUGGGCUUUAUUCCAUUUCAUUUUCAGUAAUUUGAACUAUCUAUGGAGGCUGGGAGUCACCAUUUAAAAUGAAUGAAUGAAUGAAAAUGUUUUAUUUUAAAUUCAUUCUGGUCCAUCUUUUGAGACAAACUUUUGCCGACAGCUACGUCUCGACUCGGGUAAAAACUAGGUUAUUUUCAAGUAGCUUUUCAGAGCAGCAGCAGAGAGGAGGAGGAAUAAAAAGGGCAGAAUGAUGAGAGACUGUGUGAUGAGAUCAGCAAACUUUCAUACUUUAUUUUGCAGUUAAAAGCGGUCAAAGGAAUAUCUACCAAGAGUUAAAUAAGUCGAUCAAUUUAGCUGUCCAUUACAUGAAUUUAUAUAACCUUUAUUUAAACAGAAAGAUCAUAAUGAGACAAUAAGAGAUAAUCAAUCUACUCACAUAAUUUUGGUGUAUUUCUUAAAAUGUCAAACUGUUCCUUUAAAUUCAUAGGAAAUGAACAAUUAUUAUUUGAAUUUUUAACUAACAUACAUGCUAAAAUGUACAAACAGUACAUAAAACACUGGCUAAAGCUGCAGAAGUGAAUAGAAAGUAAAAUGCGCCCAUGGCAGUUGAUGUUUACGGUGUGUGAAAUAAUUCACCUCAAGACUUAAAGCUUUUAUGGCUGCACCAGUCCAUCAAAAGGAAAUAUUGUCGAUGUCUGUCACAGCAUGUUAUGCAAAUUUCCCCAAAUUCAGCCUGAUUAUAUUUGGCAUUUUUGUAAAGUUUGGGAAUCUGCUAGAAUUUAAAAUGAAGUUCUGUUUGUUUGAAUAAAAAGCAUGAAUUUGCAAUGACUCAUCCAUCAAUGUUUAAGUGAGGUUAGAGGUUAAAUUACGCCUGUAGCACUGUGUUAAUUUAGUUUCCAAAACUAUAUCAAAUUGUGUGCAAACAAUUUGUACCUUGUCCUGUUGAAUUAUUCAAAAUGAAGGAACAAAAUCCAUUAUUGCCCUGCAGGAACAUUUCCCUCAGCCUCUCCCAGGCUCUGCGCUCACACAGUCUCACAAAGAAUUAUUUUCACCUUGAGGGAUGACUGUCAGAAAAAUGCUGAAAUGAAAUGGAAGCGAGCCAAACCUCACUUUUUUUGUUUUAUAAGGCCAACAGCAACUAUAAUACAUCAAAAGUAGAUGAGAAAAGUGUGGUCAUGGUGAAUUUAUUCCUCGCUCAUCUUUAAGUCUCUCUGUCCAGCCUCAGAUACAGUUUUAAUCUGUCGAAGUGAAAAUGAUUUUGAAAAAGUCACAUCAGGUAAAGCUACGUUUGCUGCUUCGUGUCUCAUCAGGGAUUGGAUACGACAGCGUGUUAACCAGACCACUGUGACUAAAGAUAUAAUAUUACUUUGACAUACCUGUAUACCCCUGUAUAUUUCAUCACUUAUCUUAAAGCAGCAGAGAACGGAGAAGGCCCUCUUUAACUUUAUUUAAUCCUGGAUUUUAUUACAAUAUUUAAAUAUUUCUAGUCCCUAUAACUAUGAAAGUGUGUGUGUGUGUGUGUGUGAGAAAGACAAGUCAUUAGAUAAAAGGGUCGUGUGUGUACGGGAAUCAAGAAACUGUAAAUAUUGAUACUUGAGUUAUGAUUACGAUGUGUGAUAUUAAGCAUGGAUUAAGCAUCAAACGAGUUUACAAAAUAUCUGAAGCUGUAUUGUAAAUAGUGUACUGUAUCACUGUCUUUGCAAUGAGUGAUGUUAAAGCCAACUGCUGUAACAGCUCGCCCUCUGCUGUUCAAUGGUGGGAACAACAGGAUCUAAUUCUGUUGUUACACGUUAGCCAACUGUGUUUUCAUUCCUUUAACGGCUGACUUUUAUUUAUCUAUUUUUUUAAAUAUCAGCAAACUUUUUGUUUUACAAACUGUCAGGAUUUCUCUGACAGGGUCACAUCUCAAACUAUAACUAUCUCAUACUAUUCAAACAUUUAAUCAGGGACAUAAAAUAACAGCCAUUUACAUUUUUAAAGUUUUUAUCUUGACAAAAUAUUAUAUCUUAUCUAGCACACCUUUAUUUUGAAAAAUUCAAAGCAAACUUUGAAUAUGCCAUAUGACAACAGUACAACAGUAAACUACUAAUGAGGUCUAUUUUCAAUACAACACUUAUUUUAAAAUAAUUUAGUUAUGAGUAGAGUUCUAGAGUAGUAAACUGAGGAAAUAUCUUUUAAAUUUUUGUUUGUGGAUUCUUCUAUUUGAUGAAUGAACUACUUCUAAAGAAAAAUGACUGAGCUUUUUCAGGAGAUGGGGAUGAGAUUUUAUAUUUAUUUAUGAAUCAUAGCUAGAUUGUUAAAUCCAUGACACUUACAUUGUGGGUAUAUUGUCCUUUCAUUGAAAUCUGCAGCCCAGUGAGCUUAAUUGGCUUUUUGCACCUGAUGCUACAUUCAAGUUAAGUGGGAAAGAUCAUCUAAAAGUGGCCAUAAUCAAUAUUUUACUAAUAAAUCACCAGACUCUGUAGUUUCUCUCUGCUCUACGGAGCAUUUUAGCAUCCUUUAGCUCAUUGUUUUGGUUUUUCAACUGUUCACUAACUUUUAUCAACUUAAAAGGUGGUAAUGUUGUUUCCACAGCUUUUUUUUCAUUGCCUCAAAGUUGGCAGAAAAGCAGAUAUUUUCCAGCAGCAAACUUAGAUUUACCAUCUUUCCCAUGUGACAUGAAUGCAGCAUUAGUGUAAAAGUAAAGAUUUGAACCAGUUUCUCUCGGCCAGGAAACUAUAUCCAACUACAGUCUCUGACAUGCCCCAGACUGCCAGCUACCACCUAAGGGCUACAUUUGCAUCAUGUGAGGCUGUCUGGCUGUUCCCCUCUGACCGUCCUCCCACCUCCCACACCAGAGGAGGAACCUGCCCCGAGGCUGACACUUUCUGUAACCAGGAAUAGAUUUUUAGGCCCACACGCAAAGUCAGACAUCUCUCCUGCAAUCAGGGGAAUCUUUUUUUUUUUUUUCCUUCUGCAUGUCUGGAUGAUUCAGGGUUACAUGUCUUUAGGCUGUGUUGAUGUCAACAUGGCACACAGGAAAUCUAGAAAAGCUUAUACUAAGGCACUUAGAUUCUCAGAGUUGAGGAGGUUGAGGAAGUGAGAAAGUUUAUCAGGUGAAGUUACACCUUUCCUUUUCCUCUGUAAAUGCUUUGUUUGACAGAUACAGACAAAAACCACCUGUUUAAAAUGAUUCACACUGUAGUCACUCCUGUCUAGAUGUGGUAUUGUACGGCAUGUCCCUUUACCCCACACUUACCCACCCAUGAAUGUGACAUAUUUUACUAAUUUAACUUCGACAUUUGGUGCUGGGAAACAAGCAUGUCACUGCUGUUAUUAGCUAUUUAAAGAACAGCAGAGGAAAAAAAUCUAUCUACUCUAUAAAGUAUGUAAAUAUAUUUAAUUACAUAUUUAUUUUCUUUUGUAUAAUACCCUCUUCAACAGUUGAAUGGCUACUGAUUAUAUAUACUGUCUAUGGAUGAUUGCCAAGGGUUGCAGGUUUACAAAAAACAAAAAAAAACAAAAGGCUUGCCGACUACAAACUCUCCUCAAAAUAAAACUGGUUUGCUUACAGCUUGAAAUGUGUGACGUGCUGCCGAUAAGCUUCAUCUUUCCUCACGCUCUUCUUUUAUGAAAUACAUUAAAAAAAACCACGAGAAGCUGCUUCAUGAAAACGGUGUGAGAAUUUGUGACCUCACCCAGCCGCACACUGCCAGAUCACGGGUCUCGUUUUGUCGUCGUCAUCGUCGUCGCCAUCAUUCACCUUUUCCCUUUAACAAAAUGGAACGAACUGGUUUCUGUAAAGACUUAAUGUUUACAUCUAGAACACAGCUUCUUCUUUGUGUUAUAAAGGGUUAGUAAGGGAGAAAUACUGCACUGGCAAGACCAUUCUGCUUUCUCACAGUGUAUAUGUGUGUUUCCUACAUUAGUUUUUUAAUAUUUACCUCCCCCAUCUGUCCUGUUAGGAUCCCCUCUCUUCCCGCAAAUGUAAAUGUUUUGUACGACUACAUGGUUUGUAUAUGAGAAAUGCAUUGUAACUGCGUAAUUUUAAAACCUUUACAGUGUAAAACACCAGAAACGCAAAUGUCUCCUUCUUCUUUUUUUUCCAUUUAUAAAAAGAAAAUAAAUUAAUUGUGAUGGAAUAUGAUUCAACAGAGUCUCUGCUUUUGUGCAUUAAUGCGCCGCCACAGUGAGACGUUCAGGGUCCAUUUUGGAGGUCGAUAAAUUGGAUUUCUGACUCAGCAGUCUGUCGACGGUAACACUGUCGCAUAUUUCACUGCAGGCCAGCGACACGCUGUCAGGAAAUCAGCCUCUCAGGUCACGUAGUAAUCAGCUCUCGUCCAUUUCCUCUUCACAACAUGUUUGGCUGCGAACAGUUCUGCGGUGAGCUGCCAGUUCUUCCUCUGGUCUGGAUUCCUUCUCAUCACGGAGGAUUUAAUCACCUACAA